rnacentral:rRNA from 1 species
AGCCGCGGUAAUACGGGGGAUGCAAGCGUUAUCCGGAAUCAUUGGGCGUAAAGCGCCUGUAGGUUGUUUAAUAAGUCUGUUGUUAAAGACUAGGGCUUAACCCUAGAAAAGCAAUGGAAACUACUAGACUUGAGUAUGGCAGGGGUAGAGGGAAUUUCUAGUGUAGCGGUGAAAUGCGUAGAUAUUAGAAAGAACACCGGUGGCGAAAGCGCUCUACUGGACCAUUACUGACACUCAGAGGCGAAAGCUAGGGUAGCAAAAGGGAUUAGAUACCCCUGUAGUCCUAGCCGUAAACGAUGGAUACUAGAUGUUGUGCAUAACGUACAGUAUCGUAGCUAACGCGUUAAGUACCCCGCCUGGGGAGUACGCUCGCAAGGGAGAAACUCAAAGGAAUUGACGGGGGCCCGCACAAGCGGUGGAGCAUGUGGUUUAAUUCGAUGCAACGCGAAGAACCUUACCAGGGCUUGACAUACUACAAAUUCUUUAGAGAUAAAGAAGUGCCUUCGGGAAUGUAGAUACAGGUGGUGCAUGGCCGUUCUUA